CCUACGGGAGGCAGCAGUGGGGAAUCUUCCGCAAUGGGCGAAAGCCUGACGGAGCAACGCCGCGUGAUCGAAUGAAGGCCUUCGGGUUGUAAAGAUCUGUUGACAGGGACGAAUAAGCAAUGCGAAUAGUUUUGUGAAUGAAGGUACCUGUUUAGAAAGCUCCGGCUAACUACGUGCCAGCAGGCGCGGUAAUACGUAGGGAGCAAGCGUUGCCCGGAGUUAGUGGGAGUAAAGGGCGCGUAGGUGGGCGCAUAAGGCAGGUGUGAAAACUCCGGGCUCAACCUGGAGACUGCACUUGAAACUGGCUGUCUUGAGGUCAGGAGAGGAAAGUGGAAUGCCUGGGGUAGCGGUGAAAUGCGUAGAUAUUAGGCGGAACACCAGUGGCGAAGGCGACUUUCUGGACUCUACCUGACGCUGAGGCGCGAAAGCGUGGGUAGCGAACGGGAUUAGAUACCCUGGUAGUC
rnacentral:rRNA from 1 species